rnacentral:rRNA from 1 species
UACGUAGGGUGCGAGCGUUGUCCGGAUUUAUUGGGCGUAAAGAGCUCGUAGGCGGCUUGUUGCGUCUGCUGUGAAAGCCCGGGGCUUAACCCCGGGUCUGCAGUGGAUACGGGCAGGCUGGAGUCCGGCAGGGGAGACUGGAAUUCCUGGUGUAGCGGUGAAAUGCGCAGAUAUCAGGAGGAACACCGGUGGCGAAGGCGGGUCUCUGGGCCGGUACUGACGCUGAGGAGCGAAAGCGUGGGUAGCGAACAGG